CACGUAGGCGGUCUGUUAUGUCGGAUGUGAAAGCCCUUGGCUUAACUAAGGAAGUGCAUCCGAAACUGGCAGGCUAGAGUACUAAAGAGGGUCGCGGAAUUCCCGGUGUAGAGGUGAAAUUCGUAGAUAUCGGGAGGAACACCGGUGGCGAAGGCGGCGACCUGGGUAGAUACUGACGCUGAGGUGCGAAAGCGUGGGGAGCAAACA
rnacentral:rRNA from 1 species